GAUGAACGCUGGCGGCGUGCCUAAUACAUGCAAGUCGAGCGGUAACACUUCGGGUGACGAGCGGCGGACGGCUGAGUAACACGUAGGAAUCUACCCCAGACUGAGGGAUAAGCACCGGAAACGGUGUCUAAUACCGCAUACGCUCUAAGGAGUAAAGCUUCGGCGGUUUGGGAAGAGCCUGCGCAUGAUUAGCUUGUUGGUAAGGUAAUGGCUUACCAAGGCGACGAUCAUUAGCUGGUCUGAGAGGAUGAUCAGCCAGACUGGGGCUGAGACACGGCCCAGACUCCUACGGGAGGCAGCAGUAGGGAAUUUUCCACAAUGGGCGAAAGCCUGAUGGAGCAACGCCGCGUGCAGGAUGAAGGCCUUCGGGUUGUAAACUGCUUUUAUAUGUGACGAAUAUGACGGUAGCAUAUGAAUAAGGAUCGGCUAACUCCGUGCCAGCCGCCGCGGUAA
rnacentral:rRNA from 1 species